CUGCAGCCGUUUCCAGCGAGGCUCAACCUGCCGUGGUUCUGUCCUUUCCUACACGGUUUGCUACAGAAAAGUUGAGGCAGUUUGAGGCCCCGCUGCGGCUUUUCCCGGCAGGGUUUUAGGUAAGCCUCCAACAGAA
ensembl:snoRNA SNORA9 small nucleolar RNA, H/ACA box 9